UCAGAUUUCUGUAUCAAAUCCUUCUGUAUCUUCGAUCUUUAUUUUCAUUUUCCAGAUCUGCGAUGAAAGUUGAAAGGUAAGCCAUCUAAAUCUCUAAUUUUCAUAUGUUCAAUAUCUUUAACACAAUUUUGCUUUGAAAUAAACUAGCGAGAAUAUGGUACCAAAAAUUUAUCUGAAAUUGUUUAAUCUUAUGACCUUGAUUUAUUUUUGGUUUGUAAUUAAUAAAUUAUGGACAAGUUAAUGGUUCUUUUAUGAACUUGUUUGCACUAUUUUUUAAGCUCUUCAAUGGAAUAUCAUAUUAUUUACAAUAUCUCAUUUUCUUUUCUGUUUUUCUUUGUUUGUUUGCUAAAAACCUGUAAAGAAUGCAUACAUACAUUUUUAUAAAUAAACAAAAAUAUAACUCUUCAAUUAGUUCUAAAUUUUUAAAACCUUAUAUAGACUUUAUAUAAUUAAGUGUAUGACUAUGGUAUAUUGCACAGCUUGAGGCAAUUACUUCCAUUCUGGGGAUGGAAUUUAAUUCAUUGGUUAUCAGUAGUAAAACCUUGCUCCAUUUUGAAUUAAGCUGUUACAAGAUUAGGAGUGAUAACCUUGCUCCAUUUUGAAUUAAGCUGUUACAAGAUUAAGAGUGAUAACCUUGCUCCAUUUUGAAUUAAGCUGUUACAAGAUUAAGAGUGAUGAGAAGCAUCAGCUAACUUCUUCCGGAAACAGUGGCAAAACAGCUGAAAUGUUAUUUUUAUUGACCUUUGGUGAAGAAGAUCUGCAUCAUGGAAAACUUAAUGCAU
rnacentral:lncRNA from 1 species